rnacentral:rRNA from 1 species
GGGCCCGCACAAGCGGUGGAGCAUGUGGUUUAAUUCGAUGAUACGCGAGGAACCUUACCAGGGCUUAAAUGCAGAACGACAGAGGUGGAAACACCUCCUUCUUCGGACGGUCUGCAAGGUGCUGCAUGGUUGUCGUCAGCUCGUGCUGUGAAGUGUCGGGUUAAGUCCCAUAACGAGCGCAACCCCUAUUUCUAGUUGCCAGCGGUUCGGCCGGGGACUCUAGAGAAACUGCCAGCGUAAGCUGUGAGGAAGGUGGGGAUGACGUCAAAUCAUCACGGCCCUUACGUCCUGGGCUACACACGUGCUACAAUGGUAGGGACAGAGAGUUGCCAACCCGCGAGGGUGAGCUAAUCUUCAAACCCUAUCUCAGUUCGGAUCGGAGUCUGCAACUCGACUCCGUG